rnacentral:misc_RNA from 1 species
UCGGGUGUCCAGGCGCCAGAUCCGAAGCGAAUGUCUUCGGCUGGUAGCUCAUGGGUGGAACAUUGACAUUGGUGCAGCAGGAACCGGUCUGGUUCGAGUACGCCUCCUCUUGAGGGGGUUGGAAAGGGUCGGGUCGGGGAGGGUUGCACGUGCACGCUGUUGGGUCCUGAGGGACCGGGCCGGCACCGUAGGGUGUGGGACUGAACCUCUGGACCUUUUCCUGGUUUCCCGUUUCGGGGGAUCGUGGGGAGGGUACCGCCCGUACUUUGAGAACUACACAGUGGACGCGAGCAUCUUAGAUUCAGGCUUCGGCCUGGAUCACAAGAUCUGAUUUAUUUAGAUCAUUGGUCAAUCUGCGUCGGAUCGUCUUUCGGGAGGGUUCGGCGUCGAUCGAUUCAUACUCAUGUGAU